rnacentral:lncRNA from 1 species
GGCAGACACGCACGCACCCGGGCGCCGAAGGGAAAGCCGCGUCUCGCCCUCCCGCCCCGCCGUCGGUCCUGUCUCAGUCCCUCAGCAGAGCGGGAAAGCGGAGGCCGGAGCCGUGACCUCUGACCCCGUGGUUAUGCGGAGCCGCCGCAUUCCUUAGCGAUCGCGGGGCAGCCGCCGCUGCCGCCGUGGGCGACUGACGCAGCGCGGGCGCGUGGAGCCGCCGCCGCCCCUCCCCCACCGCCGCUCUCGCGCCAGCCGGUCCCCGCGUGCCCGCCCCUUCUCCCCGGCCGCACCCGAGACCUCGCGCGCCGCCGCUGCCACGCGCCCCCCCCACCGCCGCCGCCGCCCCAGCCCCGCGCCACCGCCCCAGCCCGCCCAGCCCGGAGGUCCCGCGUGGAGCUGCCGCCGCCGCCGGGGAGAAGGAUGAAGGACAAACAGAAGAAGAAGAAGGAGCGCACGUGGGCCGAGGCCGCGCGCCUGGUAUUAGAAAACUACUCGGAUGCUCCAAUGACACCAAAACAGAUUCUGCAGGUCAUAGAGGCAGAAGGACUAAAGGAAAUGAGUGGGACUUCCCCUCUCGCAUGCCUCAAUGCUAUGCUACAUUCCAAUUCAAGAGGAGGAGAGGGGUUGUUUUAUAAACUGCCUGGCCGAAUCAGCCUUUUCACGCUCAAGAAGGAUGCCCUGCAGUGGUCUCGCCAUCCAGCUACAGUGGAGGGAGAGGAGCCAGAGGACACGGCUGAUGUGGAGAGCUGUGGGUCUAAUGAAGCCAGCACUGUGAGUGGUGAAAACGAUGUAUCUCUUGAUGAAACAUCUUCGAACGCAUCCUGUUCUACAGAAUCUCAGAGUCGACCUCUUUCCAAUCCCAGGGACAGCUACAGAGCUUCCUCACAGG